CCAAUAGCGUAUAUUAAAGUUGCUGCAGUUAAAAAGCUCGUAGUUGAAUUUCGGGACCAAUAUGUCGGUCGUGCCUCGGUACGUACUGGCAUCGUUGGUUUCUCCCUUCUGACGAAUCAUGAUGUCAUUUAUUUGGUGUCGUGGGGAAUCAGGACUGUUACUUUGAAAAAAUUAGAGUGUUUAAAGCAGGCUCACGCUUG
rnacentral:rRNA from 2 species